UGGCACCAGUGGCUUCCUUAUUGACAUGCC
rnacentral:piRNA from 1 species